rnacentral:rRNA from 1 species
GACGAACGCUGGCGGCGUGCUUAACACAUGCAAGUCGAACGGAAAGGCCCUGCUUUUGUGGGGUGCUCGAGUGGCGAACGGGUGAGUAACACGUGAGUAACCUGCCCUUGACUUUGGGAUAACUUCAGGAAACUGGGGCUAAUACCGGAUAGGAGCUCCUGCUGCAUGGUGGGGGUUGGAAAGUUUCGGCGGUUGGGGAUGGACGCGCGGCUUAUGAGCUUGUUGGUGGGGUAGUGGCUUACCAAGGCUUUGACGGGUAGCCGGCCUGAGAGGGUGACCGGCCACAAUGGGACUGCGAUACGGCCCAGACUCCUACGGGAGGCAGCAGUGGGGAAUAUUGCACAAUGGGAGGAAGCCUGAUGCAGCAACGCCGCGUGCGGGAUGACGGCCUUCGGGUUGUAAACCGCUUUCGCCUGUGACGAAGCGUGAGUGACGGUAAUGGGUAAAGAAGCACCGGCUAACUACGUG